GAGAUCCCAUGCCCUUCCCGGGGUUCCUGGGUGGGUCGAGGCUGGCUUGUGGGGGAGGCAGCAGGGGAGCAGGACCCAAAAAUGCUCCUUCUGUCGUUACCCUCUAUGCAUCUCUGACCAAGGUGAGCCAGGAAGUAUCUCUGCAGGGUUCCAGUCUCUUCAGAGGUCAUGGCUACAAGGACACAGGGUGAGGAGGUAGCAGGACUCUGUCUGCCUGGGGAGGGGACAGCAGGAAAAGCCCCAGAGAGGAGGGGACACUGCAGCUGGAUGUUGAAGCAUGAGAAGUUCACCGGAGCCCCAACCUCCUCAGAAGCUGGCGGCCAGCACUGUCCAGGAGCCAGGGCCACCAGCCUCUGUAGCCCGGAUGUAGCAGAGACACCUCUUGGUGUGGAGGGAGCAUCACUGGCCCAGCUGUCAGGAGACUUGUCUCUAUCAAGUCAAAUCUUUCCUAAGCACCUACUCUGUGCCAGGGACCAUCUUCAGCAGCCCAGGCGGCUGCCUCAUGGAGCUUCUGUUCUAAUGCAGAGAUGCUAAUGAACAAGUAAACAAACACUUGACCAAGGUCACUUCGUAUGAUGACAAGCACUGUGAAGACAGUGAGAGGGCUGCUGAACGAUCACAUCUGAGGCCAGCUUCAGCGGCAGGAGACAUCCUGGAGCUGUCCGGGGCCUGUGGGAGACGAGAUCACAGGCUCUCUCUCCUCCUGAUGGCAAGAUGGCUGCAAGCAACACCAGACAUACUCCCCAUCUCUCAGCAACUCUAGCAGAAACCUCUUUGUCAAGGGCUCCCAGCAGGCAGCACUGCUGGGCCUCUCAGCUGAGGUCUCCUGUCUGGUGGCUUGCACUCCAGUUUCAACGCCUUGCCUGCCCAACCUCCUUCCCAAUCUGAAGAUGGAAAACAAGGCUCCAAAAGCCUUCGGAAAUCUGCCCCAAGUUACACAGCCAUCAAGCAGCAGUGCUGGGACCGGCAAGUCUGUCUGAUGCCCAAGCCCAGGUUCCACCAGCUGUGUGUUAAAUUAGAGACCACAGCUGUGUGGAUGGUCCUCCCGCCACCCAGCCAGCGUGCCUGGAGGGCAGCUGGUCACCACCAGGAGCUGCCCUGUAUUGUGACUGGCAGCAUCGUGCUGUACCUGGACUAGUCUAGAGGGUGGGGAAUCUGAACCCAGGAGCCGAGACACAGGGACACAAGACCACUUGACCAGCGGUUCAGGGCUCCUCUCCAUCCUGUGCCCAAGAUCAGGGAGAGGGAUGGAGGUGGGUGUGGUUUCCCAGGACACUCCCUCCCUUGGGGAGCAAUGCUGCCUGGGGCCUGGUGGCUGGAGGUGCCUCAAACCCCUGCCUCUGGGGCCUGGCAGCUGUUGGCACUGUGCUGGCUCACCUGUGGCUUAUCUCAUCUUCAACCGACCGGAGGAGAGAAGUUGGAUCAGGUCCUUCCUCCACCACAUACACUGAAAAUGGAGAUGUGGCCAGUAAAACGACUUAUAAUCAUUGCUACCAGAGAGAGUGGAAUGGGGGGGAAGGCACACAAAAAUCUAAAGAGGAGGGCCCCGUGGGUAAACUGGCUGUUCUUCACAUGUGCUGGGCAUUUUAUUAUUCACCAAAGCAUUUUCACUGCCAUGAUUCUAUUUAAUUCUUACAAUCAACCUGAGAGGUAGCUAUGAUCCCUAUUUUACUCUUGAUAAAUGCGAGGCUCAGAGAUGCUGAGUGAGUUGCCCAACAUCACACAGCAGGUAAGGAAGUAGAGAUAGUCCUCUCACACUGGUCUUCUAACUUCAGGUAUAGAGAGCACAGCCUGAGUGAGGGAAAGAAGGAGGCAGCUGUGUGUGUGUGUGUGCGUGUGCGUGUGUGUGUGUCUGUGUCUGUGUCUGUUUUGGGAGGCUGCCAGAGAAAAGUGG
ensembl:lncRNA